GCGUCUGUACGCGGAGGGACAUUACUGAGUUAUUAAAACUCCAAACCCUUUGUGAACCUUACCGUCGUUGCCUCGGCGUGAGCUACGGCUACCCUGUAGUUACCCUAUAGCUACCCUAUAGCUACCCUAUAGCUACCCUGUAGUUACCCUGCAGCUACCCUAUAGUUACCCUGUAGCUACCCUGUAGCCGGCUUAUGGCCCGCCGAAGGACCGCUAAACUCUUGUUUUUUUUAUUACUGUUUCUCUGAAUUGUAAACCUAAAUAAGUUAAAACUUUCAACAACGGAUCUCUUGGUUCUGGCAUCGAUGAAGAACGCAGCGAAAUGCGAUAAGUAAUGUGAAUUGCAGAAUUCAGUGAAUCAUCGAAUCUUUGAACGCACAUUGCGCCCAUUAGUAUUCUAGUGGGCAUGCCUAUUCGAGCGUCAUUUCGACCCUUAAGCCCUUGUUGCUUAGCGUUGGGAAUCUACGGCGUAGUUCCUCAAAGUUAGUGGCGGAGUUAGGGUACACUCUCAGCGUAGUAAUCUCUCUCGCUCGUGUGGUGGCCCUGGCUGCUAGCCGUUAAACCCCUAUAUUUUCUAGUGGUUGACCUCGGAUUAGGUAGGAAUACCCGCUGAACUUAAGCAUAUCAAA
rnacentral:rRNA from 1 species